rnacentral:rRNA from 1 species
AUGGCGGACGCGGCUGGGACGGCGGAGAGGAAGCUCACGCUGAAGAGCGCCGACGGCAAGGAGUUCUUCGUGGAGGAGGCGGUGGCGAUGGAGUCGCAGACCAUCAAGCACAUCGUGGAGGAUGGUUGCGCCAACAACAUCAUCCCCCUCCCCAACGUCAACGCCAAAAUCCUUGACAUGGUCAUCAAGUACUGCAGACAGCACAUCCAGAAGCGCGGAGCCGACGCCGCCGACCCCACCGCGAAGGCCUCCGAGCCGGACCUCAAGACCUUCGAUGAUAAGUUCAUAGACGUCGACCAGCAAAUCCUCUUCGACCUCAUCCUGGCUGCGAACUACUUGAACAUCAAGGGGCUGCUGGACCUGACCUGCCAGAAGGUCGCUGACAUGAUGAAGGGGAGGACUGUAGAGGAGAUCCGCAAGACCUUUGACAUCAAGAACAACUUCACCAAAGAGGAAGAGGAGGAAGUUCGGAGGGAGAACCAAUGGGCUUUCGAAUGA